AUUAGAAUCUGCUACAUAAGCAAUUGGGCCCAUACCCCAAAAACGAUGAUUAACAUCUUCUAAUA
rnacentral:tRNA from 1 species